GACAGAGGUGCCAAGCGUUAGGCGGAAUCACUGGGCUUAAAGCGUGUGUAGGCGGAUCGUUAAGUACCUUGUGAAAUCCCACGGCUCAACCGUGGAACUGCUGGGUAUACUGGCGAUCUUGAGCCACCUAGGGGCGAGCGGAACAAGCGGUGGAGCGGUGAAAUGCGUAGAUAUCGCUUGGAACGCCAAUGGUGAAAACAGCUCGCUGGGGGUGUGCUGACGCUGAGACACGAAAGCGUGGGGAGCGAACAGG
rnacentral:rRNA from 1 species